rnacentral:rRNA from 1 species
AUUGAACGCUGGCGGCAUGCCUUACACAUGCAAGUCGAACGGCAGCACGGGUGCUUGCACCUGGUGGCGAGUGGCGAACGGGUGAGUAAUACAUCGGAACAUGUCCUGUAGUGGGGGAUAGCCCGUCGAAAGCCGGAUUAAUACCGCAUACGAUCUACGGAUGACAGCGGGGGACCUUCGGGCCUCGCGCUUUAGGGUUGGCCGAUGGCUGAUUAGCUAGUUGGUGGGGUAAAGGCCUACCAAGGCGACGAUCAGUAGCUGGUCUGAGAGGACGACCAGCCACACUGGGACUGAGACACGGCCCAGACUCCUACGAGAGGCAGCAGUGGGGAAUUUUGGACAAUGGGCGAAAGCCUGAUCCAGCAAUGCCGCGUGUGUGAAGAAGGCCUUCGGGUUGUAAAGCACUUUUGUCCGGAAAGAAAUCCUUGGCCCUAAUACGGUCGGGGGAUGACGGUACCGGAAGAAUAAGCACCGGCUAACUACGUG